GUGUUCAAUUUAGCAGCACAUAUACUAAAAUUGGAACGAUACCUAUAAGAUUAGCAUGGCCCCUGAAGAAGGAAGACAUGAAAAUUUGUGACGUAUUCCAUAUUUAA